GAUGAAGAACGUAGCGAAAUGCGAUAAGUAGUGUGAAUUGCAGAAUUCAGUGAAUCAUCGAAUCUUUGAACGCACGUUGCGCCCCUUGGUAUUCCAUGGGGCAUGCCUGUUCGAGCGUCAUUUGUACCUUCAAGCUCUGCUUGGUGUUGGGUGUUUGUCUCGCCUCUGCGUGUAGACUCGCCUCAAAACAAUUGGCAGCCGGCGUAUUGAUUUCGGAGCGCAGUACAUCUCGCGCUUUGCACUCAUAACGACGACGUCCAAAAGUACAUUUUUACACUCUUGACCUCGGAUCAGGUAGGGAUACCCGCUGAACUUAAGCAUAUCAAUAAGCGGAGGA
rnacentral:misc_RNA from 1 species